CUCACUUGGAACAAACUCUUAAUCCCUUGCAUAAAUUUUCUUCUAACAGAAACGUCAUAGACUCCGUGGAAGCCCACCACCCGUUCCAGUCUGGAGAUCAAGUGCUGCAGAAAGAAUGGAAGGAAGCUGGUCCUGCCCAACAACUACAAGAGAAAUAGAAAGAGCCCUAUGAUGGGCUGUUGACUACCGACUCAGCACUGAAACUAGCAGGCAUCAAACCUUGGGUUCAUCAUAUGUGGGUGCUACCCCUAAGACUCCGAAAUGAAAAAUACUUCAGAGAACAGGUGGACCUCUUCCACUCCAACCCCAAGUUCAAGAACCCCUGAUGACGACCCCUCUCAGCAGGAAGUAGCCAGAAUUAUCACAACAUCCAGUACCCCAGCAGCUCCUCUGGCACAAGCAUGACAGAAAUCAUGCACAAAUUGACAGUGGGGAUUCUGGCAGCCCAAUUCUCCUUGACAAUCACACAGAAAAGUCUGUAUGACAAUCACACAGACAGGCCUGCGUAGCACUUCAGUUACACAGACUAAGUUCCACAGAGCUGCCUUAACAUUGAGCAAAUAGUUAAACCUAGGGAAAUCAGUGCCCAGACAUCAAAGCUAGAAAUGAAACGUAUGGUCAGUAGGAGCCUUGCAUGGGCUUCUCCGUAACCUAGAGCAAACCAAAAUAAAGAGACAGUCUUGCAUUUCUAGUGCCAGGACCCAUCUCGGGUCGAUGAAAUCUGAGAUGAGUCAAGGCAUGAGAGGCAGCUGUUUGAAUAAAUUCAUUGGAGCGCCUAAGGCAGAUCUCCAGACCAAGCUGUAAGGGAGAUAAGAUAGAAGUCAUCACUGUUGUACCACAGUAGACAGGCCUUGAAGGUACUGGGCCCUUUUAAUCAGACUUAGCAAGCAUUUUUGUCUCUGAUCUUCUAGUCGAAGCAAAAUUAGUUACCAAUAGGCUUAGGCAAACGCUAUACUGCAUGUAGGCACAUAACCCCAACCUAUAUAAGCACUAAGAAAAUUGUAACACUCUGAGUUGGUCUGGUGGAAUUAUCUCCGGCCUUCUCCCUGUAUCCAGUUACAGCAAUAAAUUCCAUUCUUCC
rnacentral:lncRNA from 1 species